rnacentral:rRNA from 1 species
GUUAGGAAUAUUGGACAAUGGGCGCAAGCCUGAUCUAGCCAUGCCGCGUGAGCGAUGAAGGCCUUAGGGUUGUAAAGCUCUUUCGUGGGGGAAGAUAAUGACUGUACCCCAAGAAGAAGCCCCGGCUAACUCCGUGCCAGCAGCCGCGGUAAUACGGAGGGGGCUAGCGUUGUUCGGAAUUACUGGGCGUAAAGCGCACGUAGGCGGACUGGCAAGUCAGGGGUGAAAUCCCGGGGCUCAACCCCGGAACUGCCUUUGAAACUCCCAUUCUUGAGUUCGAGAGAGGUUGGUGGAAUUCCGAGUGUAGAUGUGAAAUUCGUAGAUAUUCGGAGGAACACCAGUGGCGAAGGCGGCUCACUGGCUCGAUACUGACGCUGAGGUGCGAAAGCGUGGGGAGCAAACAGGAUUAGAAACCCGUGUAGUCC